GACGAACGCUGGCGGCGCGCUUAAUACAUGCAAGUCGAACGAGAAGCUCGGUGCUUGCACCGGGUGGACAGUGGCGAACGGGUGCGUAACACGUGAGCAACCUGCCCCGGAGACCGGGACAACCCGAGGAAACUCGGGCUAAUACCGGAUGUCUUCACCGGACCGCAUGAUCUGGUGAAGAAAUGGUCUGCCGCUCCGGGAUGGGCUCGCGGCCUAUCAGCUUGUUGGUGAGGUAACGGCUCACCAAGGCGACGACGGGUAGCUGGUCUGAGAGGACGAUCAGCCACACUGGGACUGAGACACGGCCCAGACUCCUACGGGAGGCAGCAGUAGGGAAUCUUGCGCAAUGGGGGCAACCCUGACGCAGCGACGCCGCGUGCGGGACGAAGGCCUUAGGGUUGUAAACCGCUUUCAGCAGGGACGAAAUUGACGGUACCUGCAGAAGAAGGCCCGGCCAACUACGUG
rnacentral:rRNA from 1 species